rnacentral:rRNA from 1 species
UACGUAGGGGGCAAGCGUUGUCCGGAAUUAUUGGGCGUAAAGCGCGCGCAGGCGGUCCUUUAAGUCUGAUGUGAAAGCCCACGGCUCAACCGUGGAGGGUCAUUGGAAACUGGGGGACUUGAGUGCAGGAGAGAAGAGUGGAAUUCCACGUGUAGCGGUGAAAUGCGUAGAGAUGUGGAGGAACACCAGUGGCGAAGGCGACUCUUUGGCCUGUAACUGACGCUGAGGCGCGAAGGCCAGGGGAGCAAACGGG